UCUUGAUAACCAUUUGUUUGGGAGCAUGACAAUAGCAUUUGGUCGCCGUUUAUUCAAAAACAAUAUUCGUCACUGAGACAUCGUGAAACUGGCUUUUAAUAAGCCUGUCAGUAGUCGCGCCUCUUACCAUACCGGACACUAAUCCAGACUCCGGGGGUGAUGCUGAGCAGAAAAACAAUAAUGUCAUUCUAUCGGACCCGGGACCACAGAUGUCGUACGCACACAACACAAUUACGCCACCGAAUCAGUAGUAAUUAUUAAAACAUAUUCAUACUGUAUCAGCCAGCAUAGAUAAUAGAGGUGAAGAGGUCUUAUAUAAGCCGCGGUUGCGCGUUGAUAGGUAAUAACACGGUUUCAUUUCGCGACUCAAACAUGAGGCUGUGGGUGUUGUUCUUCGCUUUUCUGUUGUGUCUCGCCGUCUCUAUGGCGGACUGCCCAGCCGGGGAAUACAAUCCGGGACCGGACUGCAGUUUCGAGACAAUCUGCGGGUUGAGAAGUAGUCACAGCUAUAGGAGACAUUACUGCGACUGCUGGUGCACACCUCCUCUCAUCAGGGACACGUCUACUAACACUUGCGUGCUACCAGACCAAUGUCCCAAUUAGAUAACUGAUACUAUAUAUUUAAUCCGGUUUUGUGUUACGAGCGGAUGCUAUAGUCUUUAUGAGGUUUUUGAUGAUUGAAUACACGUAUCGAUAUUACCUUUAUUUUAAAAUAAUUGUAAAGUUUUAUUUGACUACGAUUCUCACUAAAAAUCGACUUUUUAUUAUGAGGUAUUUCUAAAUGUGAUAUAGAGAUUAAAUCUGUGGGAAUCACUCAGAUGAGGAAGUUGAUAUGAUACUAGGUAGGUACUUAAUUUUGUUUAUGUGUUUUCUAUUGGAAGGUAAUAAAUAAUGUUAAGAAUUAAUCAUUUUAUGUAAAACAUUUAAUUUCAAUUAUUAUAAGAUAUGUUGUUGCUUCUAUCUUUUAUCAGAAUAAUUAAAGAGUGAUUAGUUGUCUUCUACCUUUUGCUGAAUACGUUUGGUUUGUGGUAAAAAAAUGUUUUUCUAAUCCCUUCACACUGGUGUUGGUCUUAACUAUUGUUUUCAAUACAUUUGAUUGUUGCAAA